UGGGGAAUUUUGGACAAUGGGCGAAAGCCUGAUCCAGCAAUGCCGCGUGUGUGAAGAAGGCCUUCGGGUUGUAAAGCACUUUUGUCCGGAAAGAAAUCCUUGGCUCUAAUACAGUCGGGGGAUGACGGUACCGGAAGAAUAAGCACCGGCUAACUACGUGCCAGCAGCCGCGGUAAUACGUAGGGUGCAAGCGUUAAUCGGAAUUACUGGGCGUAAAGCGUGCGCAGGCGGUUUGCUAAGACCGAUGUGAAAUCCCCGGGCUCAACCUGGGAACUGCAUUGGUGACUGGCAGGCUAGAGUAUGGCAGAGGGGGUAGAAUUCCACGUGUAGCAGUGAAAUGCGUAGAGAUGUGGAGGAAUACCGAUGGCGAAGGCAGCCCCCUGGGCCAAUACUGACGCUCAUGCACGAAAGCGUGGGGAGCAAACAGGAUUAGAUACCCUGGUAGUCCACGCCCUAAACGAUGUCAACUAGUUGUUGGGGAUUCAUUUCCUUAGUAACGUAGCUAACGCGUGAAGUUGGACCGCCUGGGGAGUACGGUCGCAAGAUUAAAACUUAAAUGAAUUGACGGGGUCAUAGCUGUUUCCU
rnacentral:rRNA from 1 species